GACGAACGCUGGCGGCGUGCUUAACACAUGCAAGUCGAACGAAGAGCGAUGGAAGCUUGCUUCUAUCAAUCUUAGUGGCGAACGGGUGAGUAACGCGUAAUCAACCUGCCCUUCAGAGGGGGACAACAGUUGGAAACGACUGCUAAUACCGCAUACGAUCUAAUCUCGGCAUCGGGGAUAGAUGAAAGGUGGCCUCUACAUGUAAGCUAUCACUGAAGGAGGGGAUUGCGUCUGAUUAGCUAGUUGGAGGGGUAACGGCCCACCAAGGCGAUGAUCAGUAGCCGGUCUGAGAGGAUGAACGGCCACAUUGGGACUGAGACACGGCCCAGACUCCUACGGGAGGCAGCAGUGGGGAAUCUCCCGCAAUGGACGAAAGUCUGACGGAGCAACGCCGCGGGAGUGAUGACGGCCUUCGGGUUGUAAAGCUCUGUUAAUCGGGACGAAAGGCCUUCUUGCGAAUAGUGAGGAGGAUUGACGGUACCGGAAUAGAAAGCCACGGCUAACUACGUG
rnacentral:rRNA from 1 species